rnacentral:rRNA from 1 species
UUGGGAAUAUUGCACAAUGGACGACAGUCUGAUGCAGCGACGCCGCGUGGUCGAAGAAGCCCUUCGGGGUGUAAAGACCUUUUUUAGGGGACGAUUGUGACGGUACCCUAAGAAUAAGAGCCUGCUAACUACGUGCCAGCAGCAGCGGUAAUACGUAGGGCUCGAGCGUUGUCCGGAUUUAUUGGGCGUAAAGAGCGUGUAGGUGGUCUGGAAAGUCAAGCUUAAAAGGCUUUGGCUCAACUGAAGUUUUGGGUUUGAAACUUCCAGACUUGAGGACAGCAGGGGCAAGCGGAAUUAGCGGUGUAGCAGUGAAAUGCGUUGAUAUCGCUAAGAACACCAAUAGCGAAGGCAGCUUGCUAGGCUUUCCCUGACACUGAGACGCGAAAGCGUGGGUAGCGAACGGG